GGCGAACGGGUGAGUAACACGUGGGCAAUCUGCCCUUCACUCUGGGACAAGCCCUGGAAACGGGGUCUAAUACCGGAUAACACUCUGUCCUGCAUGGGACGGGGUUGAAAGCUCCGGCGGUGAAGGAUGAGCCCGCGGCCUAUCAGCUUGUUGGUGGGGUAAUGGCCUACCAAGGCGACGACGGGUAGCCGGCCUGAGAGGGCGACCGGCCACACUGGGACUGAGACACGGCCCAGACUCCUACGGGAGGCAGCAGUGGGGAAUAUUGCACAAUGGGCGAAAGCCUGAUGCAGCGACGCCGCGUGAGGGAUGACGGCCUUCGGGUUGUAAACCUCUUUCAGCAGGGAAGAAGCGCAAGUGACGGUACCUGCAGAAGAAGCGCCGGCUAACUACGUGCCAGCAGCCGCGGUAAUACGUAGGGCGCAAGCG
rnacentral:rRNA from 1 species